AUUGAACGCUGGCGGCAUGCCUUACACAUGCAAGUCGAACGGUAACAGGUCUUCGGAUGCUGACGAGUGGCGAACGGGUGAGUAAUACAUCGGAACGUGCCCGAUCGUGGGGGAUAACGAAGCGAAAGCUUUGCUAAUACCGCAUACGAUCUACGGAUGAAAGCAGGGGACCGCAAGGCCUUGCGCGAACGGAGCGGCCGAUGGCAGAUUAGGUAGUUGGUGGGAUAAAAGCUUACCAAGCCGACGAUCUGUAGCUGGUCUGAGAGGACGACCAGCGACACUGGGACUGGGACACGGCCCAGACGCCUACGGGAGGCAGCAGUGGGGAAUUUUGGACAAUGGGCGAAAGCCUGAUCCAGCCAUGCCGCGUGCAGGAUGAAGGCCUUCGGGUUGUAAACUGCUUUUGUACGGAACGAAAAGACUCUGGUUAAUACCUGGGGUCCAUGACGGUACCGUAAGAAUAAGCACCGGCUAACUACGUGCCAGCCGCCGCAGUAA
rnacentral:rRNA from 1 species